rfam:Paracoccus sphaerophysae strain HAMBI 3106 Contig_2, whole genome shotgun sequence.
GUUUGACACGGCCCCACGGUGUCCAGUUUGGGCCCGACCUUUGGCCGCGGAGCGAUGAC